rnacentral:misc_RNA from 1 species
GUGAAUCAUCGAAUCUUUGAACGCACAUUGCGCUUCGUGGUAUUCCGCGGAGCAUGCUCGUUUCAGAAUCAUUAAAGAACUCACAGAGCCAUGCUUUGUUGUUGGUCCGCCUCAACAAACUUGUGCAAUGUGGAUGUGGGCAACUUGUCCAAGUCAAUUGCCUUAAAAUGAGAGUGUGUGACCGAUCGUCGAUCGGGUCUUCCAACGGUGCAACAGCUUGAUACCUCCCGGGACCCCUCGAGUGAUCACACAUCUGCAAACAACACAGGGCCGGCAAGCAGUUAUGCUUAACCGGCUCUG